AUUGAACGCUGGCGGCAGGCUUAACACAUGCAAGUCGAGCGAGCGGCGGACGGGUGAGUAAUGUCUGGGAAACUGCCUGCUGGAGGGGGAUAACUACUGGAAACGGUAGCUAAUACCGCAUACCAUCAUAUGUGCCCAUAUGGGUUUAGCUAGUAGGUGGGGUAAUGGCUCACCUAGGCGACGAUCCCUAGCUGGUCUGAGAGGAUGACCACCCACACUGGAAUUGAGAAACGGUCCAGACUCCUACGGGAGUCAGAAGUGGGGAAUAUUGCACAAUGGGCGCAAUCCUGAUGCAGCCAUGCCGCGUGUGUGAAGAAGCCCUUCGGGUUGAAAAGCACGUUCAGCGAGGAGGCGUUACUCGCAGAAGAAGCACCGGCUAACUCCGUGCCAGCAGCCGCGGUAAUUC
rnacentral:rRNA from 1 species